rnacentral:rRNA from 1 species
UACGUAGGGCGCAAGCGUUGUCCGGAUUUACUGGGCGUAAAGGGCGCGUAGGCGGCAAUUCAAGUCAUCUGUGAAAUCUCCGGGCUUAACCCGGAACGGUCAGGUGAUACUGUUUUGCUAGAGUGCGGAAGGGGCAAUCGGAAUUCUCGGUGUAGCGGUGAAAUGCGUAGAUAUCGAGAGGAACACCAGAGGUGAAGACGGGUUGCUGGGCCGACACUGACGCUGACAGCGCGAAAGCCAGGGGAGCAAACGGG